rnacentral:rRNA from 1 species
UACGUAGGGCGCAAGCGUUAUCCGGAAUUAUUGGGCGUAAAGAGCUCGUAGGCGGUUUGUCGCGUCUGCCGUGAAAGUCCGGGGCUCAACUCCGGAUCUGCGGUGGGUACGGGCAGACUAGAGGUGAUGUAGGGGAGACUGGAAUUCCUGGUGUAGCGGUGAAAUGCGCAGAUAUCAGGAGGAACACCGAUGCGAAGGCAGGUCUCUGGGCAUUAACUGACGCUGAGGAGCGAAAGCAUGGGGAGCGAACAGG